rnacentral:rRNA from 1 species
GAUGAACGCUGGCGGCGUGCCUAAUACAUGCAAGUCGAGCGAACGGACGAGAAGCUUGCUUCUCUGAUGUUAGCGGCGGACGGGUGAGUAACACGUGGAUAACCUACCUAUAAGACUGGGAUAACUUCAGGAAACCGGAGCUAAUACCGGAUAAUAUUUUGAACCGCAUGGUUCAAAAGUGAAAGACGGUCUUGCUGUCACUUAUAGAUGGAUCCGCGCUGCAUUAGCUAGUUGGUAAGGUAACGGCUUACCAAGGCAACGAUGCAUAGCCGACCUGAGAGGGUGAGCGGCCACACUGGAACUGAGACACGGUCCAGACUCCUACGGGAGGCAGCAGUAGGGAAUCUUCCGCAAUGGGCGAAAGCCUGACGGAGCAACGCCGCGUGAGUGAUGAAGGUCUUCGGAUCGUAAAACUCUGUUAUUAGGGAAGAACAUAUGUGUAAGUAAAUGUGCACAUCUUGACGGUACCUAAUCAGAAAGCCACGGCUAACUACGUG